AGAAAAUCGAGGUUACCGGUUCGAAACUUCCAGACUUUACGACAGUCAGAAGACCUCAUAUUCCCGAGCUAAAAUUAAAGCAUGAACACACAAAGGACAAAACAUUUUACUAUACUGAGAAUGGGAAAUGCCAGAUUCAUCUCAUUAUUGGAGACAACACGUUUAGUCGAAUCCGAACUGAAACUGUGUGCAAGGGGGAGCAGGGAGACCCGAUCGUUGAAG